GAGCGAACGCUGGCGGCAGGCCUAACACAUGCAAGUCGAACGAACUCUUCGGAGUUCGUGGCGGACGGGUGAGUAACACGUGGGAACGUGCCUUUUGGUUCGGAAUAACUCAGGGAAACUUGUGCUAAUACCGAAUGUGCCCUUCGGGGGAAAGAUUUAUCGCCAUUAGAGCGGCCCGCGUCUGAUUAGCUAGUUGGUGAGGUAACGGCUCACCAAGGCGACGAUCAGUAGCUGGUCUGAGAGGAUGACCAGCCACACUGGGGCUGAGACACGGCCCAGACUCCUACGGGAGGCAGCAGUGGGGAAUCUUGCGCAAUGGGCGAAAGCCUGACGCAGCCAUGCCGCGUGAAUGAUGAAGGUCUUAGGAUUGUAAAAUUCUUUCACCGGGGACGAUAAUGACGGUACCCGGAGAAGAAGCCCCGGCUAACUUCGUG
rnacentral:rRNA from 1 species